UUGACUAUUUCGUAAAUAAUACUCAGACUUCACUAAUUGCACGGGUUUAAAAAGAGGACCCCACCUUCAGCGUUAGCCUUGGGCGGGGGGGUUCAUUCUAUAAUGAUCCUUCCGCAGGUUCACCUACGGAAA
rnacentral:misc_RNA from 1 species